rnacentral:rRNA from 1 species
GAUGAACGCUGGCGGCGUGCCUAAUACAUGCAAGUCGAACGGGGAGUAUUAAUUUCGGGUUUUUACUUCUAGUGGCGAACGGGUGAGUAACGCGUUGGUGACCUGCCCCGAAGAGGGGAAUAACUCCGCGAAAGCGGAGCUAAUACCCCAUGUGGUCGUCGAGGUUAGAGACUCGGUGACUAAAGGAGCAAUCCACUUCGGGAGGGGCCUGCGUCCCAUCAGCUAGUUGGUAAGGUAACGGCCUACCAAGGCGAUGACGGGUAGGGGACCUGAGAGGGUGGUCCCCCACACUGGCACUGAAACACGGGCCAGACAUCUACGGAUGGCAGCAGUAGGGAAUAUUGCACAAUGGGCGAAAGCCUGAUGCAGCAACGCCGCGUGCGCGAAGAAGGCCUUCGGGUUGUAAAGCGCUUUUCUGGAGGAAGAGGAAGGACGGUACUCCAGGAAUAAGGAUCGGCUAACUACGUG